AUUGAACGCUGGCGGCAUGCCUUACACAUGCAAGUCGAACGGCAGCACGGGGGCAACCCUGGUGGCGAGUGGCGGACGGGUGAGUAAUGCAUCGGAACGUGCCCUGAAGUGGGGGGAUAACGCAGCGAAAGCUACGCUAAUACCGCAUAUUCUGUGAGCAGGAAAGCAGGGGAUCGCAAGACCUCGCGCGAUGGGAGCGGCCGAUAUCGGAUUAGCUUGUUGGUGAGGUAAAGGCUCACCAAGGCGACGAUCCGUAGCUGGUCUGAGAGGACGACCAGCCACACUGGAACUGAGACACGGCCCAGACUCCUACGGGAGGCAGCAGUGGGGAAUUUUGGACAAUGGGCGAAAGCCUGAUCCAGCCAUGCCGCGUGAGUGAAGAAGGCCUCGG
rnacentral:rRNA from 1 species